UCUCACUUCCCGAUCUGUUUCGAUCCGCCAUUUUUUUACGUAGGAAAGCGUGUGGUUUGGCAUUGUGUUUUGUCGAAUUGCUUUACGGAAAUACUGACUUGGGGUCACUACAUACUUCGAUUCUCGCGCACCAGCGGACGCAGCAAGUGAGACGCCAUUGUUAGAUUGCGUUCUCUUGUGUAAAGUUGUGUGUCUAAUAUCAACGUUGGUUAAAUUAUUCGUUGAAAGUAGCACGCAAUAAUCUUCGAUUUGGUGCGCCAUUUCAACAAGGUUCUAAGACGAGCCGAAAAUGCCGGGUUUUAGUAGUGUUGGCACAUUCAAAAUUUUCAUCGGUAAUUUAGCCGAUAAAACAACAAAUGCUGAUAUUAAACCGUUAUUCGAAAAAUAUGGAAAGGUUGUAGAAUGUGAUGUGGUGAAAAAUUACGGAUUUGUGCAUAUGGAAAACGAAGAAGCAGGAAGAAAUGCAAUACAAAAUUUGAAUGGACAUAUAGUUCAUGGUCAGGAGAUUAAAUGUGAAGCUGCAAAGAGUCGUAAAGGACCUAACACACCUACAACAAAAAUAUUUGUUGGCAAUCUCACAGAUAAUACAAAAGCGCCUCAAGUGCGCGAACUAUUUGCCAAGUACGGUACUGUUGUAGAAUGCGAUAUCGUGAGAAAUUAUGGAUUCGUCCAUCUAGAAGCAACAGGUGAUGUCAACGAUGCCAUCAAGGAACUCAAUGGAAGAAUGGUGGAUGGUCAAGCGAUGAAGGUUCAAAUUUCUACAAGCAGAGUACGACAAAGGCCAGGAAUGGGAGAUCCUGAACAGUGCUAUCGAUGCGGUCGCGGCGGCCAUUGGUCCAAGGAGUGCCCGAAAGGAGGAAUGGGAGGAGGACCAGAUAGAAACGGAUACAGAGACCGAAUGUUUGGACGCGAUCCGUAUCCUCCACCGCCGCCACCACCGUUCCUUCGGGAUCGGUUAAUGGGUGGUGGCCGCUUUGGAGAUUACGAAAGCUACUAUGACAGGAGAGGCUUCGAGGACACCAGGGAUCUCUACGAGAGGCGGUUUACGGGUAUGGGAUCCAUGCGCGACACUGGCUUCUCCCGUGGUAACGAGUAUGGCAUGUUCAGCCGCCGAUCGCCCCCUCCAAGUGGCAACAAUGGCCGGUUCAGUGCACCUCAGGCUGCGUACCAUCUUUGUCCAUGAAUGCGGGCAACCCUAGAGAGACAGUCCCGGGCCAGCGGUCAAGUCGUGCAAGACGCUCCUUAUUACGUACAUCACUCAACCGGGAGUGGCGCGGAGGCCUGGGAUGAAGAAACGUUCCUAAGGAAUGCGAACUAGAUUUCUUGAUCGCACUACCGCGAGCCAGGAUGCGAUCCUACAAUUCUAACAAACUCUCGUACGCUGUAGAUAGAAAAGAAAAGAAAAGAAAAGAAAAGAAAAGAAAAGAAAAGAAAAGAGAUGAGAUGAAAUGAAAAAAGGGCUGGCGCGAUUUUCAGGAACGGCGCCUAUCGAUUAUCUUUGAAAUGUCUCGUAAGUAGAAACCAGCUUUCCAGACGCAUUGGACAGUAAGUUUGUAUAUCGGCGUUUGUAAUAGUUGUUAAGGCCAAAUUCAUAGAUACGCUUCAGAAACAUCUUAUUAUUUUGUGUAUCAGUUUUAAUGUAUCUUUAAUUCAAAUAAUGCUUUAAAGUUUUUCAAUCGCAAUUUUUGAGUAAUCAAUAAAUAGAUAAUGUAAUUCAUGAAAUGUAUCUCGGAAAGAUACAGCGUCAAAAAUAAUUUUGAAUUAUACAAACGAUAAAAAAAGGAAAAAAGCAAGUAUGAUAUGCA